AGACAGCAGUAGCCGCGGUAAUACGUAGGGUGCAAGCGUUAAUCGGAAUUACUGGGCGUAAAGCGUGCGCAGGCGGUUUGUUAAGACAGAUGUGAAAUCCCCGGGCUCAACCUGGGAACUGCAUUUGUGACUGGCAAGCUAGAGUCUGGCAGAGGGGGGUGGAAUUCCGCGUGUAGCAGUGAAAUGCGUAGAUAUGCGGAGGAACACCGAUGGCGAAGGCAGCCCCCUGGGCCAACACUGACGCUCAUGCACGAAAGCGUGGGGAGCAAACAGGAUUAGAUACCCCCGUAGUCCCUGUCUCUUAUAC
rnacentral:rRNA from 1 species